GCAGUUCUACGGCUUCAUUUGUCGGGGGCGAGGACAAAUCGGCCCGAGAUCUCUCCGGCGAGAUUAAUGGCACCGCAAAUCAUGGCUCACGUUGCCGCGGCGACAGGCCUCCUCCCCGCGGCUGCAGCUCAUUUAAAAGCCGUAUAAUCUUUGGCGGUGGCGGAGCGGAGGGAAACCGCAUCGCUGGACCAGAACGCCUGACAGCUGCAUGGAGGCCUGCCAGGGCCGCUCCAGGCCCACAGGACCCCCCCCAAAAAACACCCCAUCCCCCAGCAUGCCGGAGCCACGGAGAGGAGGCUCUCGUGGAAGCUGCUCGUUGGAGAUACGGGACACGUUUUUUUAUUUCACCUUUGAUUUAACCGCAGAACCUUCCGAGGAGGAGGAGUCAACGUACACAAAGUAAACAGCCUGAAACGCACAAAGAAGAAUGGACACUUCAUUUAAUGGCGAUGUGUCUCCAGCCGUCCCCCUCCUCUGCUCGUCUGAAUGAAGACUUCCUCCAACACGCCGACCGUCGCUCUGCUAUUCUUAUCUCGCCGAGUGACAACAGAAGAAACUUUAAAUUGGGCCUCAAAGAAGCGACUGCCGAGGAGAGAAACGUCCGGAAGCUGAUUCCAGCUCACGGAACAGAAGCGUCGCGUGCAAAGGAUUGUGGGUAUUUUUGGAGGAUUAACGCGUCCUUUAAUAUCUUCCAAUUGAAGGAUUCAGCUCUCAGAAUAAUUCUGAGGAUCCUUUUUUAUAUUUCUGAGAGGACAGAUUUAGUACAUACUUAUUAUUAUAAGUAUUAGUAUUAUUUUACACAAAGAAAGUAUAACUACUAUCAUUAUUUUGGUGGAUUGAACUGGUCUGACGGGCUUUGAUUCACGUCCCGUUCACGUCUGAGAAAGACUAACAAAUAAAAAACAAAUUUCCG
ensembl:lncRNA